UGUGUGGUAGUAUUAUAUUCAGUGGGUAUGGUGUAUGGAAGGUUCAUAAUUAAAGAGUAUGGUGUAUAGUAGUAUUAUAUUUAGAGGAUACAGUGUCUGGCAGGUUUAUAAUAAUACUUUUUUCAUAUAGAGGAUGAGAAUGCGCUGACAUAGUGAGGAGACGUCUGGGCGUCACAUUCUGCAGAGAGAAGUUUUAGCUGGAACAAGUCCUGGCGGUGUGAUUUUUAUAUUGCCCACACCUGUUAUUUGCCCCAGAAGUUGCAGUGUCCACAGGGGAAGGACCCCUGUGGAUGUCCAGGCAACCACGUGGCUGACGAUUCACUCGAUUCGUGAAGAUGGCUGUGUACCAGCAAAUCGCGAAGAUUAUAGCCACUCCGAAAAGAAGGUAGGGACGAUAGAAAAAAUGUCAAAAUAUAAUCAAUGUAAACACUCGCACCCUGUGUAAGGAUGUUGUUACUGGAGACAAUUUGAUGUCCCUUCAACGGAAAUUCGUCCUUCCUUGUUUGGCAGUGGUCAGGAGUAAUUGCAACUCGGCAAAGAAAUCCUGUGUGGGAUCCCGACUCAACAAUUGGUAAGUAUCACCAUCUUCGAAUAAUUGCAUAGCAAUAGCCACAUAUGUGUCUCUGUCAAGUAAGACAAUGUUGCUGCCCUUAUCGGAUGGCUUUAUAAUAAAGUUGUUAUCAGUUUGUAAUGAAUGGAGUGCGGUCUGUUCUUUCUUAGAUAUAUUGGAAUUAAUAAAAUAAGAUUUGGAUUUAAUCCGUUGAAUGUCUUUAGUAACCAGAUUGACAAUGGUAUCUAUUUCUGAAUAUUGUGAAAGGGAUGGCAUCAUUUUAGAGCGAGGUUUUAAAUUAGUAAGAGGUGCCACUAACUCUGUGUCAUUACCUUCA